UACGAACAUAUCGCGUUGAAACACCGGUUCUCGCCCGAUAACCGAUUUUAAGCAACGUCGAGCCUGGUCAGUACCUGGAUGGGUGAUCGCUUCGGAAUACCAGGUGCUGUAAG